rnacentral:rRNA from 1 species
UGCUCAGUAACACGUGGAUAACCUACCCUGAGAUGGGACAUAACCUCGGGAAACUGAGAAUAAUUUCCCAUAGGUCUAGGCUGCUGGAAUGCUCCUAGGCUGAAACUCCGGCGUCUCAGGAUGGGUCUGCGACCUAUCAGGUUGUAGUGAGUGUAAAGGACUCACUAGCCGACGACGGGUACGGGCCAUGGAAGUGGUAGCCCGGAGAUGGAUUCUGAGACAAGAAUCCAGGCCCUACGGGGCGCACAGGCGCGAAACCUUCGCAAUGCGCGAAAGCGCGACGAGGGGAUUCCAAGUGCAUGCCACUUAGUGUAUGCUGUUUGCUAGUCUAAAUCGCUAGCAGAGUAAGGGCUGGGUAAGACUGGUGCCAGCCGCCGCGGUAAUACCAGCGGCCCUAGUGGUGACCGUUAUUAUUGGGCCUAAAGCGUUCGUAGCCGGUCCGGUAAAUCUCUGGGUAAAUCGAUGGGCUUAACCCAUCGAAUUCUGGGGAGACUGCUGGACUUGAGACCGGGAGAGGUCGGAGGUACUACGGGGGUAGAGGUGAAAUUCUGUAAUCCCUGUGGGACCACUGGUGGCGAAAGCGUCCGACCAGAACGGGUCUGACGGUCAGGGACGAAGCCUUGGGGCGCGAACCGGAUUAGAUACCCGGGUAGUCCAGGGUGUAAACGCUGCGCGCUUGGUGUUGGGGGUCCUACGUGGGCAUCCAGUGCCGAAGAGAAGUUGUUAAGCGUGCCGCCUGGGGAGUACGGUCGCAAGACUGAAACUUAAAGGAAUUGGCGGGGGAGCACAGCAACGGGAGGAGCGUGCGGUUUAAUUGGAUUCAACGCCGGAAAACUCACCAGGGGCGACUGCCACAUGAAGGCCAAGCUGAUGACUUUGCCCGAUUGGUAGAGAGGUGGUGCAUGGCCGUCGUCAGUUCGUACCGUAGGGCGUUCUGUUAAGUCAGAUAACGAACGAGACCCUUGCCCAUAAUUGCCAUACUUCCCCUCGGGGAAGCGGGACUUUAUGGGGACCGCUGGUUCAAAAUCAGAGGAAGGAAAGGGCAACGGUAGGUCAGUAUGCCCCGAAUCCCCUGGGCAACACGCGCGCUACAAAGGCCGGGACAAAGGGUUCCGACCCCGAGAGGGGUAGGUAAUCCCGAAACCCGUCCGUAGU